AAAAAUAAUAAAAAUAUAUCUAGGACUUUUUUGUUUUUUUUUUUUGUGGGUGUUGUGGGUUCAGUUCAUUUUUGGCUAGUUCCUUGGUCAGAUUUAUAUUUCUCAAGAUCUAUAGGCCCCUUCCUAUGUAGUCCGUAGUAACCACAGGGUUUUGAUCUGUUGCCUGUAGCUUCCAAGGCGUUUCCCUCUGUUAUAUCUUCUUCUGUUUGCUAGUCUCUUCAGUACCUGGUUUCCGCCCUGACUCAAAGGGCACGGUGGAGGACACUUUUUUUUUUUUUUUUAGGCUUACUUGUUCAGUCGCGCUGUGGGGAGGGAGGGAGGGAGGGAUGCUGCAAACAAAUAACACCGGCGUGGGCUCGCAGUGCCUCAGCCACCCUGGGUCUGCCCCUGCUCACGGCGCGUGUAGCCUCCCUGUCCACACUGCUCGGACUCUAGGCUGUUCCGCCGGGAACAAUCCGAGGCUGGCCCUGGGCUGCAUGCACCUCCCAGGUCCAAGCCGCUCAGGUUCAGGCACUCGGGUAGUCCUCAGAGGCGCAGACUCAGUUGGGCCUGCGUUUUGUGCUCUUCCCAGGUCCGAGCGCCAAUUUGCUCUUCCUAGGCGAGCGCCAAUGCUGCGACUUAUCGCCUCCCCGCCACUCGGUUAUCUGGAUGUAAAACCGGCGCACCUUCUCAGGCAGAUGUUGACCGUCCAGACCCCCAAGAAGUUUUAGUUAGCAAAGAAGCCUGCUUACAAUUUUAUAGAUAAUGUCUCUCUGGGGCUGCGAUUGCCCCCUUCCGGCUCUGGCUGCCUGUCACCGGAGGGGGAAGGUCUGCAGCUGGCUAUCUCUGUUCAGUCCUUUGUUCCGUGCGCGGGCCUGGCGGUCUUAGGUUAGGGCUGGCUUUUCGCGUGGUAGGUAUCCCACAGUCUGGUUUGCUAGCCCAAAUUAUUUCGCUCAGAUAGCGCUCAGGGUAUUCAGGCCAGAUUCUUACUCUCAGCGAUGCAGCCCGCGCCGCGCCUCCCUGCCCAGCCCCGGCUUGCUAAUGGCGGAUGCAGGCGUCUGCGCUGCUUCUCCGCUGGGGGAGUUACCGUAGGGCUCGCAAUCUGCGAG
ensembl:lncRNA